GACGAACGCUGGCGGCGUGCUUAACACAUGCAAGUCGAACGGAAAGGCCCUGCUUUUGUGGGGUGCUCGAGUGGCGAACGGGUGAGUAACACGUGAGUAACCUGCCCUUGACUUUGGGAUAACUUCAGGAAACUGGGACUAAUACCGGAUAGGAGCUCCUGCUGCAUGGUGGGGGUUGGAAAGUUUCGGCGGUUGGGGAUGGACUCGCGGCUUAUCAGCUUGUUGGUGGGGUAGUGGCUUACCAAGGCUUUGACGGGUAGCCGGCCUGAGAGGGUGACCGGCCACAUUGGGACUGAGAUACGGCCCAGACUCCUACGGGAGGCAGCAGUGGGGAAUAUUGCACAAUGGGCGGAAGCCUGAUGCAGCAACGCCGCGUGCGGGAUGACGGCCUUCGGGUUGUAAACCGCUUUCGCCUGUGACGAAGCGUGAGUGACGGUAAUGGGUAAAGAAGCACCGGCGAACUACGU
rnacentral:rRNA from 1 species